rnacentral:rRNA from 1 species
AGUCGAGCGAGGUCCAUCUUGUCUUCGGACUUGGGAAGACCUAGCGGCGAACGGGUGAGUAACACGUGAGAAACCUGCCCCGAAGUCUGGGAUAACCCGAGGAAACUCGAGCUAAUACCGGAUGCCCUCCACUGACCGCAUGAUCGGUGGAGGAAAGAACUUCGCUUCGGGAGGGUCUCGCGGCCUAUCAGCUUGUUGGUGAGGUAACGGCUCACCAAGGCAACGACGGGUAGCUGGUCUGAGAGGACGAUCAGCCACACUGGGACCGAGACACGGCCCAGACUCCUACGGGAGGCAGCAGUGGGGAAUCUUGCGCAAUGGGCGAAAGCCUGACGCAGCAACGCCGCGUGCGGGAUGACGGCCUUCGGGUUGUAAACCGCUUUCGGCAGGGACGAAACUGACGGUACCUGCAGAAGAAGCCCCGGCCAACUACGUGCCAGCAGCCGCGGUAACACGUAGGGGGCAAGCGUUGUCCGGAUUUAUUGGGCGUAAAGAGCUCGUAGGCGGUUCAGUAAGUCAGGUGUGAAAACUCUGGGCUCAACCCAGAGACGCCACCUGAUACUGCUGUGACUUGAGUCCGGUAGGGGAGUGUGGAAUUCCCGGUGUAGCGGUGAAAUGCGCAGAUAUCGGGAGGAACACCAGCGGCGAAGGCGGCACUCUGGGCCGGUACUGACGCUGAGGAGCGAAAGCGUGGGGAGCGAACAGGAUUAGAUACCCUGGUAGUCCACGCCGUAAACGUUGGGCACUAGGUGUGGGACUUUUCAACGGGUUCCGUGCCGUAGCUAACGCAUUAAGUGCCCCGCCU